rnacentral:rRNA from 1 species
UACAGAGGGGGCAAGCGUUGUUCGGAAUUACUGGGCGUAAAGGGCGCGUAGGCGGCCUGUUAAGUCGAACGUGAAAUCCCCGGGCUCAACCCGGGAACUGCGUCCGAUACUGGCAGGCUUGAAUUCGGGAGAGGGAUGCGGAAUUCCAGGUGUAGCGGUGAAAUGCGUAGAUAUCUGGAGGAACAUCGGUGGCGAAGGCGGGUCUCUGGGCCGUUACUGACGCUGAGGAGCGAAAGCGUGGGGAGCGAACAGG